rnacentral:rRNA from 1 species
UACGUAGGGGGCAAGCGUUGUCCGGAUUUAUUGGGCGUAAAGAGCGUGUAGGCGGCCAGGUAGGUCCGUUGUGAAAACUCGAGGCUCAACCUCGAGACGCCGAUGGAAACCAUCUGGCUAGAGUCCGGAAGAGGAGAGUGGAAUUCCCGGUGUAGUGGUGAAAUGCGUAGAUAUCGGGAGGAACACCAGUGGCGAAGGCGACUACCUGGCCUGUUCUUGACGCUGAGGCGCGAAAGCUAGGGGAGCAAACGGG